rnacentral:lncRNA from 1 species
GUUACAAGCAUGCUUACAAUACUAAGCUCCCCCUCAGCCUGAUGCCCCAAGGUUGGUUGUACAAGAUGAAGGAUUGAAUUGAGGAGAAAGACUCACUCAAAACGGUCAAGUGUAACAGUACAGAGUACUGUUACAUUUAUAGACAAUCCAAUCCUCUGAAGCAUCUCAGCUGACGUCACCAUGAAAGUGACAUCUAACAACCUAACAAACUCUAUCUACUGAUCUAUACAACUACUGCUUUGCUAACUACAGAUAUUGCAUUACAUUACGUAGAACAAACAUAAAACUGCUGCUUCAUCAUUCUACUGCUGUGAACCUAGCAGUACUUGUCAUGAUCAGCAGGAUGUUACACAAGGCAGCAGAUUGAACAGCAGGGCUUUUAGUCUUCAUCAGUCAUUGUGUUGAUCAGCAGUUGUAUGUC